rfam:Sus scrofa chromosome 11.
UCCCUGGUGACCUAGUGAUUAGGGAUUCUGCAUUGUCACUGCUGUGGCUCGGGUUUGAUUCCUGGCCUGGGAA